AGCCAACAUGCUAAAUUAAUACUUCAAUAAAUUUAUAAGAUAAUAUAUUGUAUAAAAUCCUUGUAACUUCAUAUAAGACCCAAUUACUACUUAUUUACUAAUAUGCAUAUAAAUGUAUAAAAAUAAUAGAUACUAACAAGUCAAUAAUACAAAGAUAAUCAAUAUUUAUGUGCUAGGUAUAUAGAAACAAUCAAUUUCUAACAUGAAAAUAAUAUAAAGAUCGAUGAAAUACUGGCUAAAAGGUUGAAGAAAUCACUUGUUGCAAGGGAUGUGAUCGAAUGGCCCACACUAGAUCAAGCUCCUGUGUUGUUAACAUCACAUAUAUUUGAUUCGUUGGGGUGAGCUAGUUUUUAUUUGACUCCUUCACAUAUAUAAAGAUAAUUAACAUUUACGUGUUUCGUGUAAAUAUUAUAGAGAUGGGUGAGCUAUUUUCGUUGUAAAUAUUUGUUUACAAAAUACUAAAAUAUAUGUUUACGAAAUUGGAAACAGGGUCCCGAACAUUAUAAAGUCUGGAAUUCUUGGAAGGAGAAAUAUUUCAUAUCGAAAUAGUCAAUAUUUACAAGCCUAUAAUGUAGAGAUAGUCAAUAUGCACAUGCCAUUGAUAUAUGGAUGGUAUUUACAUAUCACUAACAUAAAAACAGUAAGUAUUUAGUAACACGUUAGUAAUAUAGAGCUGUAGUCAUUAGUCAAUGUUUGCAUACCAGUAAUCUAAAAAUAGUCAAUUUAUUUGUGUUGGCAUUUUGUGGAAUCGUCGCCAAUACAUCUUUCGUAUUGAACGAUUUAAUAUCAAUGUUGUGUAUGGGUUAUAUCUUUUGACGUACAAUAAAGAUUCAGUGCUGAGCUGAGUUUUUGCCGAGCACUAAAUCAAUAAUUGUUAGGUAAGAGAAAUAAAAAAAAUAAAAACUCAAAAUAAAUCUUUAUCAUUGAUUCAGUGUUCAGCUAAAAAAAAAAUGUUAUCUCGAGCUUUUAUAUCCAAUAACAAUAAUACAAUAUCUAAAGAUAUAACCUUCUAUUUAUUAUUUAUGGAUUAGAAGAGGAUCAUAUUUCAUUAUUUUUGUCAAAUCUUACUCAUAACCUACUAUUAAGGUAGCGUUUACUUUUUAUAAAUAUUUUCAGAUAAAUAAUUCCUCCAAGUAUAAAUAUCACAACUCAAAUCCAUAUCCGAAAGACAAUCUACAGUAAAAUUGCCCUCUCCGAAUAUAUGGGAGCAUCAAAAUUAAUUAGAAGUACCAAAUCGCCUUAAGCGAUUCAUCCGACGAACAUGUAGAGAGCGAGACGGCUGAAAUUUAGAACUAAUUAAAUGCAAGCAACAGCAGCUAUUAAAUCACUUCAACCAAGAUAUAAGGGAAUCAUUUAUCAUCGGCCACUUCCAAAGCCUGAUAAUAGCAAAUUACAUAUUGUAUUUGUAAAAUUACCAAAAGUACGUGUUCUAUUAAUAUUUUUAAUUUGUUAAUUGUAUGUUUAUUACAUCAUCAAUGCCAUAUUGAAUAAAUAACAUAUAAAUAUUUUGAAUAUUUAAAAAAUCUUGGUCAUUUGAUUUAAAUAUGAAACUUUAUAAUAUAGUUCGGAGAGGUGGCAGUGGAGCUAAAAUCAUCGUCGUUCGGUGGUGGCACGGAAAGUCGUUUUACAUUGCUGACACCGACGAUGGUUGCCGAAGGGAACGUUGACUCCGGCAGUGACUGUGCCUAAUUUCGAAUUGAUUUAAAGUUU
rnacentral:lncRNA from 1 species